AGAGAGAGAGAGGAGGCCAAGGGAUCGGUAUUCCUGGCAACUUCAGGGGAGAGCAGGUGCACCUCCCUUGUGCGCUCUUGUUAUGCACCACCGAAGCAUCAGAGCAGCAAGAGCAUUGAGGGAAGAGAGGGCAGCAAGGCUGUGAAUGGGAAGAUAGCUGGUCAUGCCAAUGACACAAGUGCAUCUCAUAAACCAUGCAUACAACCUCAUCCUGUCCCUCUGAAGAGCAGUCUCAAGAAGCCAACACGAGUAGGAGAGCAGCAGCAGGAGGAGGUGGAGGUGAUGGUGAGGGAUGGGAAGAAGAAAGUGAGGUGGCCAGAUCAUGCCCAUGGCAGGGACCUUGCCCACGUCCAGGAGUUCCACUCGAGUGCGCUGGAAGAGGGGGAGUUUAAAGGAAUAGGAGGGUCUUGCAUUUGUGUCAUCCAGUGAAGAAGGUGAUCAGAAAGAGCAUGCAGGUUUAGCCUUUAUCAAGAAGGAGAAGGAAAGGUGUUUUUAUAUCUGAUUCUAAAGCAUGAGUGGGAAUGUUAAUUGGAGCAAUGGGAAUCCAAGGAACAAUAAAUUUUACAGAGAGAUACUAAACUGAUGCAUGGCUCUGGUGACAAACCAUGAAACAGGGUUAGGGCCUAUGAAACCUUGGGGUGAAAGUCCCAUGUGCAUGGAGGGUGACCUAAACCCAAUUUUUGUAUGGAUAUUUGUAUGGUUACCUGUUAGUUUGUUAGUUUAGAAUCACCCAAUUAUAUUGUUCAUGGUUUAGAGUAACAUUUGGAAUAUGAAGGGAAAGAGGAACUGCAGCUUUGAAGAACACACUUGAUUCUGUAAUUUAGUAACCCAUGAUUCUCUC